CCUACGGGUGGCAGCAGUGGGGAAUAUUGGGCAAUGGGCGCAAGCCUGACCCAGCAACGCCGCGUGAAGGAAGAAGGCUUUCGGGUUGUAAACUUCUUUUGUCAGGGAAGAGUAGAAGACGGUACCUGACGAAUAAGCUACGGCUAACUACGUGCCAGCAGCCGCGGUAAUACGUAGGUGGCAAGCGUUGUCCGGAUUUACUGGGUGUAAAGGGCGUGUAGCCGGGUUGACAAGUCAGAUGUGAAAUCCUGCGGCUUAACGGCAGAACUGCAUUUGAAACUGUUGAUCUUGAGUACUGGAGAGGCAGACGGAAUUCCUGGUGUAGCGGUGAAAUGCGUAGAUAUUAGGAGGAACACCAGUGGCGAAGGCGGUCAGCUGGACAGCAACUGACGGUGAGGCGCGAAAGCGUGGGGAGCAAACAGGAUUAGAUACCCUAGUAGUC
rnacentral:rRNA from 1 species